CACGUAGGGGGCAAGCGUUGUCCGGAUUUAUUGGGCGUAAAGAGCUUGUAGGCGGUCUGUCGCGUCGGCUGUGAAAACACGGGGCUCAACUCCGUGCCUGCAGUCGAUACGGGCAGACUAGAGUUCGGUAGGGGAGACUGGAAUUCCUGGUGUAGCGGUGAAAUGCGCAGAUAUCAGGAGGAACACCGGUGGCGAAGGCGGGUCUCUGGGCCGAUACUGACGCUGAGGAGCGAAAGCGUGGGGAGCAAACAGG
rnacentral:rRNA from 1 species